UGGAAGGACCAUUGGGCCAGACCAAAUUCC
rnacentral:piRNA from 1 species